rfam:Schistosoma curassoni strain Dakar, Senegal genome assembly, scaffold: SCTD_scaffold0001813
CUAUUAACUCCGCCUGUAGCUCUUAUAGGGUUGCUGCCGGUCCCAAGCCCGGGUAAAGGAGGAGGGUUGG